AACUGGUUUGUGGCGGCCAAGCGUUCAUAGCAACGUUGCUUUUCGAUCCUCCAAUGUCGGCUCUUCCUACCAUACCGAAGCAGAAUUCGGUAAGCGUUGGACUGUUCACCCAGUGGGGCGUUGGGGCUCGGCGAGCGGAGGCCGGGU
rfam:Magnaporthe poae ATCC 64411 unplaced genomic scaffold supercont1.13, whole genome shotgun sequence.